AUCAGGGAGUAACACUCUGACCUCUUGCCCCGCCCUUCCGCUUCCACCCCGAGAGGAGGAACAACUUACCGGAUGUGGAGGCUCAGCCUUUGGACCACGGUUCUCGGUGGAUGGAGCUAGUUUAUGAAGAGGCCGUGAGACUGAGGAUAUGCCUUUUUUUCGUGCCUCUGCUCCAGGCUAGUGCAAGGCAGGAGUGCUGAGUGAGUGGUGACUCUGAAGCCCAAACUUGCCCUUGAUGGGCUGUUGCAAGAUCGAUAUUGGGAAAGCGGAGCUUCUGGAAGAUUCUUAGGAAGCCCUUGGACCGCAGAUGGGGACCUACCCUUCCUGCUCACCUGUCCUUUCCGUGUUGGAAGACCCAUCCCUGCUCUUCCUCUUGGAAGCCUCACCUCAUAUGACAGUGACGAACAGUGAGCCAUCUUGGACCAUGGGGACAAAGGAUGUGUCCUCGGGAUGUAGAACAAUCUAGAAGGAAUCUGCACUACUGACAACUUGGUAGAGCAGAGCCUCCAUACCUACUGGGACUUUUAGAUGAGAAAGAUAUUGAUUUUUACCUUAUAACCAGCUCCAGUCCACUGCAGUGGCUGAAGGGACUCAAGUCUUGAGCCUGUUCGCCCUCCUGACAAGCUCUCCAAGUUGGAUAAGUCACUUAAACCCUGAACUUCAGUUCUGAGGAUUCAGGAGGAGGAUGUGUGUAGAGUUCUUGGCUCUGUACCUGGUACAUUCAAGGAUUCGAUAAUGGAGAUGUUAUUGCUAUUGACACAGACAUACCAGUGGAACUCGGAUGUUGGCUGGGUACCCCCUUGCUCCUCAGGGUAAACUCGGCUUCAUCUCCCAAAGGGGGUGGGAAGAGGGAGCUGUGCAAACCCAGAGCCUGCUCAAGAUUCCAGCAAGUUCCAGAGCCAUCCCUGCUGCCUCUGCUGAUCUUCACCGCUUACCACAGUUGUGAAAGUCUGUCCCUACUUAGAAUUCCAGCCCCCCACUCCCAUCAGACUCUCCCCCCACAGCACUGAUGACUGCAGGAGACUUUCCUAAGUCCAGGAGGUGGGGGGACGGAGAAAGCACAAGUGAGCAUAGGAAAGUGGAGCAGGAAGUCUCUGCAUUGGGACUGCUCAUCCCGGCACCCCCAUACUGGGUUUCACUCACCUUCUCUUAACUGUCUUAGCAUCUCUUCCUCCCUGUGACCCCUCCCUUCUCUCACUUCUUCCCUCCUCUCCCCUUCUCCUUUCCCCACCCCCAGAACCAAAACCACGAAUGCCUUCACCAACAGAGCAGCCCCCCAUCUCUGACAGCUUGGUUCCUGCCAGGUCCACACCCACAGGCUCCCCUUCUCCUGAAGAGGACCUCACAGGGCAUUUCCCCAAACGAGACAGUUCCUUCCCUAAGAGGGGAUUGGUCCAAGGGGCGCUUGCUCCAUGGAGGGCCCACCCGUAGGCUGCACCCAUGACACGGCGGGCCCAAGGGGCUCAUCCCCAAGCUCCUUCAAAUCCCCAUGCCCUCCCACUCCAUAAACCUCCUUUUCUCAAGAUGACCCGGGGGUAUCCGGUCCUUGCAGCCAAGGUUCUAACACACCUCCUUUUACAGAUGAGAGAACACAGGCUCUGGGAGGUUCAAAACAAAGUCACACGGGUAGGAAGUGGCACAGCUGAGACCUCAACCCAGAACCCUCUGAUUCCACAAGCCGUGAUCUUUCUGGAGCUCAGCACAGGGUUUACCAGCUCCCCAAAGGGGCCAGCGCCACCCAGCGAUACCGGCUCCUUCUCUCCUGUAUCAGUCUAGCCUCCUGGACCAGGCCACUGUCGUCAGCUAGGCUUCAUGGGGUGCAAACCGUGUGACAGAGCACCAAGGCCUUUACCCACUGCUCAUGGUUUUGUCCUGUGAGGUGGGCAUUAUUAGCCCAGUUUUACAGGUAAAUAAACCAGAGUUCAGAGAAGUAAAGUGACUUACCCAAAGUCACACAGCAAGAACUGAUGGCGCCAAGACUUAAUCCCAGGUUGGUCUACCCAGAGGCUCUGCUCUUAGCUCCUGCAGAGUAUUCCAGCCGCAGAGGCAGGGACAACGACCCCUGGCUGUUCCUGUGCACCUGGAUGAUAGGGGCAUGCAGUCUCUCAUGCUGCUUCCAGUUUUGCUGUUGGCAUUCUACCCCCACCCUCAGAACCUACUACAACUACCCCUCCUCCAGGAAGUCCCCCCAAUCCCCUUGCUGAAGGAUCUCUCUCUUUGCAUCCUACAGCUCUCUCUCCUGCCUUGGGUGGCGGGUCGUCUCUUUCAUUGCCUGGCUCCUUAGCAACAAGAGGACAGAAUCUACACUGUGUGCAUUUUUGAGGAGCCAGCACCUCAUCCUUCACAGUUUCCAGGGUACCCUCGAGUCCAUUCUCCCUCUCGAUCUGUAACAUGGCCCAAGAGUAAGCAGGGCGGAGAGGAUCUCCGUCUUUCACGAGAGAACUGAGGCUGCGGGAGAGAGAGUGCAGCCAGGCCCAGGCCACACUGGGCUGAUUAAAAAGUUCUGUUCUCUGGACGUGGCUUUGCAAUGCAGAUUUCACGGAAAGGCCGGGCCCUGAGUGACUCCAAAUACAUAUUUACAGGUUUGUCAAGUGUUGCAGCGAGUCUGCAGAGCCUGGCUUCCUGCAUAAACAGCCCUCAUGAAAGCCAAUGAAGUCACACCUCCCAGCCAGAGCCUGCUGGCACCAGUGCGGUCCCUCCUGGGUGCGUUCACACGGAAGACAUUCACAUCACCUGAUGGCCUGCAGGAAGCCAGGGGUCCGCCAGCUCACGCUCCCAGGAAGGGGCCAGUGGACCCCCCAUGACCAUUGAGCAAGCCGAGGAAGAGGGGUGACGGAUGCUCCUGGGUCUUGGAGCAAGCUUGUGGUGGAGACUUUCUCCCUCAUUGGGAGAGCUGGAAUUGGGGUUCUGAGCAGGUGGCAGCUACAGCCCCUCCUCUCAUCUUUUGCUCUCUGUGUCUAUUAGUCAGGAUGGUGGGUCAUGCAGUAACAAACGAUCCCCAUAUCUCUAUGCCUUAACACUACAAAAGUUUAUUUCUUGUUCAUGAACGUCCACUGCGGUCCCAGUGAAGUGACCCCGUGAUACAGGCUACUUUGAUCUUGUGGCUCACAUCUUAGUCUGAGGCCCCCUCCAUGAUCACUGUGGCAGAGGCAGAUACAAUUGCACAGGAAAUUGUGCUGGAAUUACACCACCACAGCCUGAAAGUGCCACAUGGCACUUCUGCUCCUAUUUCCUAAGCUGGAAAUCAUUACAUCGUCCUGACAACUGCAAGGAAGCUGGGAAGUUUCCCGUAUGGCAAGGGUAAAAGGGCAUAUGACACCAGGGAUGUCCAUUACACUCUUUCCAAGGACCCAAACAUUGGGGUUCUCUCCAUCUCCCCUCCACGUGAAUCAUUUUUAAAGAUACUCAUCUAGGGAAGUGUAUUAGUCAGCAAUGCUGCAUUGAUGCUGCAUAACAAACCACUCCAAAACGCAGUGAUUUACAACAACAAGCAUUCCCUUUUCUUGCUCAUGAGUCUGCAAAUUGACCAGUGUGGCUGUGCUCCAGGUUGCAGGCUGGCCUGGAUUGGCCACAGGCCUUGGGUUGGACUCAGUCUGCUCCUUGGAUCAGCAGCUGUUCUGGGUGUGUUCUUCUCACGGUGGCUCAGAGGAGCACAUGAGGCCAAACCACGCCAGCCCAGGAAGGCCUCUGUGCCAUCACAUCUGCUGACAUUCCAUUGGCCAAACCCAAAGUCAAGGAUGGCGAGGUGCCCUCUGCCCACCAUGAAGCCAUGGCAGGCAUGAGGACGUACAGUUCUAGGAAGGAAGGAAGGAAAGAUUUGGAGCAAUGACCCAAUCACCAUGCCAGCUCUUUGGGAAAUGCAUGGGGCUUAGAGUCCCACAGAUGGUGGUUCGAAUCCCAGCUCUAACCUGGUCAGGCCUCUCUCCCCCUCUGAACUUCUGCAGCCACUUCUGUAAGAUGGGGCUGAAACCUUUCCCUCGGGAUCCCUGGGCGACUGAUCAUCACAAAUAACAGUUGCAUUCCCACCACGUGUCCAGCACCAGGGGAAGUGCUUUCUAGCCCCCAUUAGCUCUUCAUCCCUUGAAGGCCCACUUCUCAUCACUCACGCGUUAGUGUGGAUUAGCGUGUGGAGUGGAUCUCCACCAGAGAAUAGAUUUGGAACCUAGGAGCCCAGGGAUCCACCAGGACAGAGAGAAGGAUGCUGAGAGGAAAGCCGAAAAGACCCAAAGCUCAGAGUAACCAAGUUCACAGAUCCUGUGACAGCACCCUCAGGGUUCAGGGAUGCGGCAUUACCACCAGGGUCCCUUCUCCCUCAGGCACUCUUCCCUUCUACAAAUGUUGAUUGAAUCCCAGCCCUUCACUAGGCUCUAAGGAUGGGGAAACUGAGGCACAGAUUUUUUUCCCCCUGUUAUCACUGAAUUUACAGCCUGUGUUAGGGUUUGCUAGAGAAGCAGAACUAAUAGGAAAUAGAGAGAUAGAGAUAGAUAGAUAGAUAGAUUAUAAGGAAUUGGCCCUAGUGAUUGGAGACUGAGAAGUCCCGAGAUCUGUAGUCAGCAAGCUGGAGACGUAGGAGAGCCGAUGGUGUCAGUUCCAUUCUGAAAGCUGGCAGGCUCGAGGCCCAGGAAGAGCCAAUGUUUUAGUUCGAGACUGAAGGCAGGAAAAGCCCCACGUCCCAGCUCAAGCAGUCAGGCAGGAGCAGUUCCCUCCUGCUGGAGGCACGUCGGCCUUGUUCUACUCAGGCCUUCAGCAGCUGGGAUGAGGCCCGCCCACAUUAGGAGGGCAAGCUGCUGCCCAUUUGGAUGUUACACUCAUCCGGAAGCACCUCACAGACACACCCAGAAUAGUGUUUGACCAAUAUCCGGGGGUCCCGUGGCCUAGUUGGGCUGACACGUACAAUUAACCGUAGCAUCCUAACAGGGAAGGUGGGAGCUGAGGAAGUAAACACGAGUGGGAUGAGGGUAAGAGGGCCGAAGACUGAGGUCCUCGCAGUACGUGGUCCUUGCUGGUGUGGGAAUCCUUUGUGCUUGAAGGUGGAAGGAAAGGCGGAGGCGCCGAGAGGGGUGUCCAGCGUCCAGGAGCAGGUGAGGGGGCCAUUUUGGGAGCUGGAGAACUUUCUCUCUGCCCACAAAUUGUGCAGCGAUGAGCCAGGCCAUCGAGUUCUCCGUGGUGCUUGGAGAGGAAGGCCGCCAUCUUAAGAUUUCCCACCAGAAUCGCAAUUCUUGUAAGAAGGGGAAUUUGACUUCAUGUGGCCUGAGCUGGGAAAGGGUUACUGAGUUUCAAUAGGAAUAAGUCGCCUCAACAAGGGUGCCCAGCGUGAGGUUUUCCUAGUCCUUGGCUUUAUUUGUUUACAUAUUGCCAGAUUUCUUCUCAUUUUUUAAAAAAAAAUUAAUUCAUUUGAUCCUCACAACAGUUCUCUAAGGGAGGUAUUAUUAUUUCUCUUCCCUUUCUACAGAUAAGACACAGAGAGGUUAAGUAACUUGCCCGAGUUCACACAGUCAGGCAGCCUGGCCUCACGGUUGACACUCUAACACUAAGAUGGCGUCUCAGCUGGUUCUGUCCAGCCAGAAUUUCAGUGUUUGUUUCUAAACAGUCAGCCACAUGACCUGUGUCCUCCAGAGGAUGCACUUUGGGGGACCUUCUGAACCAGAUUGGGGUAAUCAUGUGACAAUCCAAAUUCAUUCAGCCACCCAUUUCCUUCCUGUGGUCAGCCCAGCGCUAAACCUAUAAACAUGUGGGGGAGGUCCCUCCUUCCAGGACUCCCCAGCUUCCUGACAUUCCACACUUCUGUGUUCCUUCCUUUGGCUAAAGGAUUCUUUCCUGAGACCAUUUUAACUGGAGAGCGUUCGUUUGCCUAACUAGCUACACAAGAUGACUCCAAAUCACGGGGUCAGUCACCACUCCAUUUUGCAUUUGAGUAUCUUCUGCACUUUUUUUGCAACAAGAAUGGAACCGAGGUCAUCUUGGUUAAGGGCCAACCAAUAUUUGGCAUUGAUUUUGAUAAACGGAGGGGAUUGGAUCUGCCCGUCCCAGCCAUGCCUGGCAGAGAUCAUAAGAAAGUGACUUUUCCAUUAAAAGCCCGGCUCAUGUUUUAUGUAUUUCUAAAGAGUCACAGGUUGAACCUAAUUCCUCCUCCCUUUAAGACAAGAACCCCAAAGUUAGCAUUUAAAAUGUCACGUGCAGCCAGAGGUCUCGGUGGGUCGUGGAGGGCUGGACAGUUUAUACUGGGGAGUCAUAAAAUUGACACCGAAUGACUUCAACACCCAGAGAGUUGCCUAAGAGGUCAGGAAUAGAACAUCUGAAACCAAAUCAUGAAUAAAUCCUAGGAAAGCUGAUAGCACAGCUUUAAAGAAAGGAAGCCCAUAAAUAAGCCAGCUUUAAACUUUGAAUCCAAGUUAUGAGGGUUAGUGAAACGAAGUGACCCUUAGGCUGGCAGUGAAUUGUGGAGGGUUAUUGUGUGCACGAAGUAGGCCCGCACCCAGCUCACCUCCUGGAAAGCAGCGUCCUUAUUUACCAACAGGACGACCGAGACCCUGGGGCACAGAGCUUGUGGGUGGCAAAGCUGCGAUUUGAACCUGAGUCUGUCUAAAUUAACACAUGUAAAGGACUUAGAACAGUGCCGGGCACACAAGCAAGCACUAUAACCACACUGUCUAUUAUUAUUAUUAAUUAUUACUUCAAAGCCUAAGACAUAAGCUUUAGGAUCUCCUGGGUCUUCCUAGUGUGAUCUCUUAAAAACACUCUUUGUGGUUGUCACCCAAAAGUUACCUCAAUUAUUCUGCAAACUCAAGUUGAUGGGUUGUUACCACAAAAAAGGGAAUUCUCUGUUUGAUGCACAUUAAAAAAAAAAAAGCCAAUGAUUAUGCCACCACCUUUGGAGAAAACAAAUAGCUUUAUUGUGAGGUUGACCAGCAGGGAGACAGGAGGCAAGGCUCUCAAGUCUGUCUCCCUGAUCCAGGAUUUGGGGCAAAAUUUAUGGGAUAAAGGGGCAGGGUGGUCUGGAGUGUGGAGACAGGUGAUUGGAGACGAGGAGAGGGAAGGUAAUUGAUCUGCGCAAGCAUCGUCAAGCUUCAUGGCUCUUCGUAGGAUGCACAUGCACAAAAUGGCGGACUUAGCAUGAUCUGAGGGUGGAGUUUUUGGCCCCCUGACAUCAAAGGGUCACCUACGGGGUGUUCACGCAGGCCCAGUGGAUGGAUUGGUGGUCUCAACUCACCUGAAAUGGGCAAGUGGUCAACUCUCAGCUCCUGGAAAAUAACUCUUAGUUACUCUGUCGAUAAGAUGGGGUCAGGUUGACCGGUCCUAGUGGACACGUGGUGACAGUGUUGCCAAAAGUGUGUCAUAACAGUAGAAACUGCUAACCAUCAUUGACAAUCCCUCUCUACCCAUGGCUACUCCAAAAUGCUGCAUGUAGUCAGAGCUUUUUCUUACUCAUCUUGGCUUCAGUUGCUUUCUUAGCUUUACCAACCUAUGUGCACAUCUCACCGUGUCAGUACCCAGAGCUGCACUUGUACAGCGUCCUCAUGCCCUGCUGUUAGUGUUCUUGCAGGGCAGACUCCUAGAAGUGGGAUUGUUAGGCAAGGGGAGGCACGUUUAACAUUUUGAUAAUUAAUGCCAGUUGCUUUCCCCGAAAUUUCUAUUUACACUUUUACCAACAAUAUUUGAGAUCACCCAUUUUCCCCACCCUUCCCGAUUCAGGCAAUAUCAACCUUUUUUAUUUUUUUCCCAGAUAGGUGAAAAAGAUGUCUAUUAUUUAAUUUAUAUUUAUUUGAUGAUUAAUGAAAUUGAGUAUCUUUUUAUAUACAUA